rnacentral:rRNA from 1 species
UACGGGGGGGGCAAGCGUUGUUCGGAAUUACUGGGCGUAAAGGGCUCGUAGGCGGCCAACUAAGUCAGACGUGAAAUCCCUCGGCUUAACCGGGGAACUGCAUCUGAUACUGGAUGGCUUGAGAUUGGGAGAGGGAUGCGGAAUUCCAGGUGUAGCGGUGAAAUGCGUAGAUAUCUGGAGGAACACCGGUGGCGAAGGCGGCAUCCUGGACCAACACUGACGCUGAGGAGCGAAAGCCAGGGGAUCAAACGGG